rnacentral:rRNA from 1 species
UACAUGGGGUGCAAACGUUGCUCGGAAUUAUUGGGCGUAAAGAGCUCGUAGGCGGUUUGGCAAGUCGGGUGUGAAAACUCCGGGCUCAACUCGGAGACGCCACUCGAUACUGCCAUGACUUGAGUCCGGUAGGGGAGUGCGGAAUUCCUGGUGUAGCGGUGAAAUGCGUAGAUAUCAGGAGGAAUACCGGUGGCGAAAGCGACUCUCUGGACGGUAACUGACGCUGAGGCACGAAAGCGUGGGGAGCAAACAGG